rnacentral:rRNA from 1 species
GACGAACGCUGGCGGCGUGCUUAACACAUGCAAGUCGAACGCUGAAGCUUGGUGCUUGCACUGGGUGGAUGAGUGGCGAACGGGUGAGUAAUACGUGAGUAACCUGCCCUUGACUCUGGGAUAAGCCUGGGAAACUGGGUCUAAUACUGGAUACGACAUGCCACUGCAUGGUGGUGUGUGGAAAGGGUUUUACUGGAUUUGGCUGGGCUCACGGCCUAUCAGCUUGUUGGUGGGGUAAUGGCCUACCAAGGCGACGACGGGUAGCCGGCCUGAGAGGGUGACCGGCGCCCCUGGGACUGAGAGACGGCCCAGACUCCUACGGGAGGCAGCAGUGGGGAAUAUUGCACAAUGGGCGGACGCCUGAUGCAGCGACGCCGCGUGCGGGAUGACGGCCUUCGGGUUGUAAACCUCUUUCAGCACGGAAGAAGCGAGAGUGACGGUACGUGCAGAAGAAGCGCCGGCUAACUACGUG